UACGUAGGGGGGCGAGCGUUGUCCGGAAUUAUUGGGCGUAAAGAGCGUGUAGGCGGUUCGGUAAGUCUGCCGUGAAAACCUGGGGCUCAACCCUGGGCGUGCGGUGGAUACUGCCGGGCUAGAGGGUGGUAGAGGCGAGUGGAAUUCCCGGUGUAGCGGUGAAAUGCGCAGAUAUCGGGAAGAACACCCGUGGCGAAGGCGGCUCUCUGGGACGGUACUGACGCUGAGACGCGAAAGCGUGGGGAGCGAACAGG
rnacentral:rRNA from 1 species